AUACGUAGGGAGCGAGCGUUGUCCGGAAUUACUGGGUGUAAAGGGAGCGUAGGCGGGAGUGCAAGUCAGAUAUGAAAUACAUGGGCUCAACCCAUGGGCUGCAUUUGAAACUGCAUUUCUUGAGUGAAGUAGAGGUAAGCGGAAUUCCUGGUGUAGCGGUGAAAUGCGUAGAUAUCAGGAGGAACACCGGUGGCGAAGGCGGCUUACUGGGCUUUUACUGACGCUGAGGCUCGAAAGCGUGGGGAGCAAACAGGAUUAGAUACCCUGGUAGUCCACACUGUAAACGAUGAUUACUAGGUGUGGGGGGACUGACCCCUUCCGUGCCGCAGUUAACACAAUAAGUAAUCCACCUGGGGAGUACGGCCGCAAGGUUGAAACUCAAAUGAAUUGACGGGG
rnacentral:rRNA from 1 species